rnacentral:rRNA from 1 species
CCUUCGGGUCUAGUGGCGCACGGGUGCGUAACGCGUGGGAAUCUGCCCUUAGGUACGGAAUAACUCAGAGAAAUUUGUGCUAAUACCGUAUGAUGUCGAAAGACCAAAGAUUUAUCGCCUAAGGAUGAGCCCGCGUAAGAUUAGCUUGUUGGUGAGGUAAAAGCUCACCAAGGCGACGAUCUUUAGCUGGUCUGAGAGGAUGAUCAGCCACACUGGGACUGAGACACGGCCCAGACUCCUACGGGAGGCAGCAGUGGGGAAUAUUGGACAAUGGGCGAAAGCCUGAUCCAGCAAUGCCGCGUGAGUGAUGAAGGCCUUAGGGUUGUAAAGCUCUUUUACCAGGGAUGAUAAUGACAGUACCUGGAGAAUAAGCUCCGGCUAACUCCGUGCCAGCAGCCGCGGUAAUACGGAGGGAGCUAGCGUUGUUCGGAAUUACUGGGCGUAAAGCGUACGUAGGCGGUUAUUCAAGUCAGAGGUGA